AGUGAACGCUGGCGGUAGGCCUAACACAUGCAAGUCGAACGGCAGCACAGUAAGCGCUUGCUCUUACGGGUGGCGAGUGGCGGACGGGUGAGACAUACAUCGGAAUCUACUUUUACGUGGGGGACUACGUGGGGCCGCUUACGCUAAUACCGAAUAUGUCCUACGGGAGAAUGCAGGAGUUAUUGACGCUUUUGCUGUCACAAUGAGACGAUGUCGCAUUAGCUAGUUGGCGAGGUAAGGGCCCACCAAGGCGACGAUCCGUAGCUGGUCUGAGAGGAUGAUCAGCCACACUGGAACUGAGACACGGUCCAGACUCCUACGGGAGGCAGCAGUGGGGAAUAUUGGACAAUGGGCGCAAGCCUGAUCCAGCCAUACCGCGUGAGUGAUGAAGGCCUUCGGGUUGUAAAGCCCUUUUAUUGGGAAAGAAAAGCAGCAGGUGAAUACCCCGCUGUUCUGACGGUACCUAAAGAAUAAGCACCGGCUAACUUCGUG
rnacentral:rRNA from 1 species